rnacentral:rRNA from 1 species
GACGAACGCUGGCGGCGUGCUUAACACAUGCAAGUCGAACGGAAAGGCCCUGCCUUUGUGGGGUGCUCGAGUGGCGAACGGGUGAGUAACACGUGAGUAACCUGUCCCUGCCUUUGGGAUAACUUCAGGAAACUGGGGCUAAUACCGGAUAGGAUCUCCCGCUGCUUGGUGGGCGUUGGAAAGUUUCGGCGGUUGGGGAUGGACUCGCGGCUUAUCAGCUUGGUGGGGUGGUAGUGGCUUACCAAGGCUUUGACCGGUAGCCGGCCUGAGAGGGUGACCUGCCACGUUGCGCCUGGAGUGCGGCACAGCCUCCUACGGGACGCGGCGGUGGAGAAUAUUGCACGAUGGGCGGGAGGCUGAUGCAACCACGCCGCGUGCGGGAUGACGGCCUUCGGGUUGUAAUCCGCUUCCGCCUGUGACGAGACGUGAGUGACGGUAAUGGGUAAAGAAGCUCCGGCUAACUACGUG